GACGAACGCUGGCGGCGUGCUUAACACAUGCAAGUCGAACGGUAAGGCUCCAGCUUGCUGGGGUACACGAGUGGCGAACGGGUGAGUAACACGUGGGUGACCUGCCCUGCACUUCGGGAUAAGCCUGGGAAACUGGGUCUAAUACCGGAUAGGACCAUGGUGUGGAUACUGUGGUGGAAAGUUUUUUCGGUGUGGGAUGGGCCCGCGGCCUAUCAGCUUGUUGGUGGGGUAAUGGCCUACCAAGGCGGCGACGGGUAGCCGGCCUGAGAGGGUGGACGGCCACAUUGGGACUGAGAGACGGCCCAGACUCCUACGGGAGGCAGCAGUGGGGAAUAUUGCACAAUGGGCGGAAGCCUGAUGCAGCGACGCCGCGUGGGGGAUGACGGCCUUCGGGUUGUAAACUCCUUUCACCAUCGACGAAGGGUUUCUGACGGUAGAUGGAGAAGAGGCACCGGCUAACUACGUG
rnacentral:rRNA from 1 species